rnacentral:rRNA from 1 species
CGAUUCUGGCUCAGGAUAAACGCUGGCGGCGUGCUUAACACAUGCAAGUCGAACGGAGUAGUCCUCCCGUGACUGAAGAAGCUUGCUUCCGAGGAAACAUUUGGACUACUUAGUGGCGGACGGGUGAGUAACGCGUGGGUAACCUGCCUCAUACUGGGGGAUAGCAGUUGGAAACGACUGAUAAUACCGCAUAAGCGCACAGUACCGCAUGGUACAGUGUGAAAAACUCCGGUGGUGUGAGAUGGACCCGCGUCUGAUUAGCUAGUUGGCGAGGUAACGGCUCACCAAGGCGACGAUCAGUAGCCGGCCUGAGAGGGUGUACGGCCACAUUGGGACUGAGACACGGCCCAAACUCCUACGGGAGGCAGCAGUGGGGAAUAUUGGACAAUGGGGGAAACCCUGAUCCAGCGAACCGCCGCGUGAGCGAUGAAGUAUUUCGGUAUGUAAAGCUCUAUCAGCAGGGAAGAUAAUGACGGUACCUGACUAAGAAGCACCGGCUAAAUACGUGCCAGCCGCCGC